ACCACGACUCUCGACAAUGGAUAUCUCGACUCUCGUUUUGAKGAAGAACGUAGCGAAAUGUGAUACUUUGUGUGAAUUGCAGAAUCCCGUGAAUCAUCGAAUCUUUGAACACAAGUUGCGCCCGAGGCCCUAGGUCGAGGGCAUGUCUGGCUAGGUGCGGUGAUG
rnacentral:rRNA from 1 species